AGUGAACGCUGGCGGUAGGCCUAACACAUGCAAGUCGAACGGCAGCACAGUAAGAGCUUGCUCUUACGGGUGGCGAGUGGCGGACGGGUGAGGAAUACAUCGGAAUCUACUUUUUCGUGGGGGAUAACGUAGGGAAACUUACGCUAAUACCGCAUACGACCUACGGGUGAAAGCAGGGGAUCUUCGGACCUUGCGCGAUUGAAUGAGCCGAUGUCGGAUUAGCUAGUUGGCGGGGUAAAGGCCCACCAAGGCGACGAUCCGUAGCUGGUCUGAGAGGAUGAUCAGCCACACUGGAACUGAGAUACGGUCCAGACUCCUACGGGAGGCAGCAGUGGGGAAUAUUGGACAAAGGGCGCAAGCCUGAUCCAGCCAUACCGCGUGGGUGAAGAAGGCCUUCGGGUUGUAAAGCCCUUUUGUUGGGAAAGAAAAGCAGCAGGUUAAUACCCCGCUGUUCUGACGGUACCCAAAGAAUAAGCACCGGCUAACUUCGUG
rnacentral:rRNA from 1 species